CAAGAACGGCUGAGACACAAUAUAACAGUAACA
rnacentral:sRNA from 1 species